CUGCGGAAGGAUCAUUACCAAGAGGAUCGCGAGGCGCCUGAGAGGGGUAGGACACCUAACUCGCUCGAUCGGUUGGACCCGUACCCACAAUAGCAAGUGAGAGCCAGUCUCUCCAGGGGGGCUUUCGGCGGCUCUGCAGCCGUCUGCCCAUAGACGGGUCCUUCCCUUUAGGCGGGGCUUCUCUCGACGUCCUCGCUUUCCACAACCUUCAACCCUUGAUUACCCUAGCCUUUGUUGCCUCGGCGGGUCCGCCCGCCAGAGGACACAACCUAAACUACUGUUGUAAACGGCGAAGUCUGAGCUACAAAGCAAUUGUUUAAAACUUUCAACAACGGAUCUCUUGGUUCUGGCAUCGAUGAAGAACGCAGC
rnacentral:misc_RNA from 1 species